CUUGGUUUUCUUGUUUUUCUUGCUGUUCUUUUUCUUGCUCUUGGUGGUCUUCUUGUCCUUCCUGUGACGCCGGUUGACGUAGUGCCUCGUGUGCCGAACUUUCUUAUCGCUCGACGAUGAUGAACUGGACGCCUCCGUGGUGGUGGUGGUCGUGGGAGCAACUGUCGUUGUAGUGGUGGUCGCCGUGGAUGAUGAGGAACUCGACGACGACGAAGUUGGAGAAGUGGACGAAGUUGGAGAAGUGGACGAAGUUGGAGAAGUGGACGAAGUAGGUGAAGUAGAUGAAGCAGGUGAAGUAGAUGAAGCAGGUGAAGUAGAUGAAGUUGAACUAGCCACUGCCAGGAGGCUGGCGAGGAUCAGUACGCAGAGGAAUCGCAUCUUGCGGCUUUGGGGC
rnacentral:lncRNA from 1 species